GUGGGGAAUAUUGGACAAUGGGCGCAAGCCUGAUCUAGCCAUGCCGCGUGAGUGAUGAAGGCCCUAGGGUUGUAAAGCUCUUUCAGCUGGGAAGAUAAUGACGGUACCAGCAGAAGAAGCCCCGGCUAACUCCGUGCCAGCAGCCGCGGUAAUACGGGGGGGGCUAGCGUUGUUCGGAAUUACUGGGCGUAAAGCGCGCGUAGGCGGACUGAAAAGUUGGGGGUGAAAUCCCGGGGCUCAACCUCGGAACUGCCUUCAAAACUAUCAGUCUGGAGUUCGAGAGAGGUGAGUGGAAUUCCGAGUGUAGAGGUGAAAUUCGUAGAUAUUCGGAGGAACACCAGUGGCGAAGGCGGCUCACUGGCUCGAUACUGACGCUGAGGUGCGAAAGCGUGGGGAGCAAACAGGAUUAGAAACCCUGGUAUCC
rnacentral:rRNA from 1 species